rnacentral:rRNA from 1 species
GACGAACGCUGGCGGCGUGCUUAACACAUGCAAGUCGAACGGAGUGGCGAACGGGUGAGUAACACGUGGGUGACCUGCCCUGCACUUCGGGAUAAGCCUGGGAAACUGGGUCUAAUACCGGAUAGUGUGGGAUGGGCGCGCGGCCUAUCAGCUGGUUGGUGGGGUAAUGGCCUACCAAGGAGGCGACGGGUAGCCGGCCCGAGAGGGUGGACGGCCACGUAGGGCCUGAGACACGGCCCAGACUCCGACGGGAGGCAGCAGUGGGGAAUAUUGCGCAAUGGUCGGAAGCAUGAUGCAGCGACGCCGGGUGGGGGACGACGGCUUUCGGGUUGUAAACUCCUUUCACCAUCGACGCGGUAGAUGGAGAAGAAGCCCCGGAUAACUACGUGCCAGCAGCCGCGGUAAUAC